rnacentral:rRNA from 1 species
AGAGUUUGAUUCUGGCUCAGGAUGAACGCUGGCGGCGUGCCUAACACAUGCAAGUCGAACGAAGCGUUUACAUGGAUUUCCUUCGGGGAUGAAGGGUUUAUGACUGAGUGGCGGACGGGUGAGUAACGCGUGGGCAACCUGCCCCGUACCGGGGGACAACAGCCGGAAACGGCUGCUAAUACCGUAUACGUUUUAAGGACCGCAUGGUCCGUAAAACAAAACUCCGGUGGUACGGGAUGGGCCCGCGUCUGAUUAGCUCGUUGGCGGGGUAACGGCCCACCAAGGCGACGAUCAGUAGCCGGCCUGAGAGGGCGGCCGGCCACAUUGGGACUGAGACACGGCCCAGACUCCUGCGGGAGGCAGCAGUGGGGAAUAUUGCACAAUGGGGGAAACCCUGAUGCAGCGACGCCGCGUGAGCGAGGAAGUACCUCGGUAUGUAAAGCUCUGUCAGCAGGGAAGAAAAUGACAGUACCUGACCAAAAAGCCCCGGCUAACUACGUGCCAGCAACCGCGGUAAUACGU